AGCCACCAGGGAAGUUCUAUCAUUUUAGCUUCCAUGGUGGCUUAGAUGGUAACAAAUCUGCAUACAGUGCAGGAGACCUGGGUUUGAUCCUUGGAUUGGGAAGAUCCACUUGAGUAGGGAAUGACUGUGCCCUCCAAUUCUCCAGUGUUCUUGCCUGGAGAAUUCCAUGGACAGAGGAGCCUGGCAGGCUACAGUCCAUUGGGUCACAAAGAGUCAGCCACGACUGAGCAACUAACACUUUCACUUUGUUAAGUACGUGGCAUGAAAGCAUAUGGAACUUGCCCCCAGUGCUCUUCAAAAAGAGGGACCAGAAAGGAAGAUUUCUUUGGAUAUUUAUUUGUCUUUGGGGGGAUUUCCACUAUAUACAGAGAUGGUUUAUUAUGGUGUAUUCUAAUUCUUCACAAAGAUUGAGUUGUUAAAAAGUCUUCACAAAUACACAAAUCUAUAAAAUACUGUGCAAUCAUAAAUUUGAGAUUAGGUUCUGAUAUCGUAUUGAAAUGAUAGUAUUCUUUUGGGAAAGAACUUUAAAUUUGACAAAGGUAUUUAUGAAAAUGAAGAUGCUUUUUAAGGCUGUUGCUGUUAAUAUUAUUGCUAUUAAUAGUAUAAAAUCUGCAAAUGCAGGAUCAGUGGUUUAUGUUCUAAAUUUUUUUUUCCUGGAGAGGUUCUCUGUUCUCAGUUAGAGGAAUCUGAGGAUGUAAACUUUAAUGACAGACAUUGGGCUCUUAAAUAUGACUUUGGACAAGUCAUUUAACCUGUUUUAGCCUCUGCAUUAAGGAAAAUAGUAAUAACAACCCCUUCCUCAUAUGGUUGUCAUGGGAAUUAAAUGGGUGACACAUAUAAAGUGUUUAAUGUAGAGCCUCAGGUAGAUAUUAAUUGAUGCUCAGUAAAGUGUAGUGUUAUGGCUGUUACCCUCAGCCAGUAUCAGAAACAAAUCUUUGAGAGUUACUUACAAGUAGAUUAAUUUGGGGUACAAAUUAGAAACAGAAAUGUAAGCAUUGUGAAGAAAUCAGAUCUUUCAAGAAGAUUUUGAGACAUUUACUGAGCAGCUUUAUGAGCUAGGAGCUGUCUCAAAGAUAUCAUUAGAAACUAUAGUAAAUAAGCUUGGAUGUAGGAUUCUUUUAAAAAAACUGGAUCAUGAAAAAGGAUAAUAAUUCUUACCUAAAGAUAAAAGGGCUCUUAGAAAAAAACCCCGGUCUAAUCUCUCACUUCAAGAGAUGUGGAGACCCAGAUCAAACUCUCUACUUACUGUUACACAGAGAGGAGGAGACGGGAAACUGACAGCCCCGCACUGACACCACCACGCCCCUGCCCUGCGCUGGGGCCAUGUGUCCUGUCAUUGGCAGGAGAAGAAACAGCUGCUAUGGAGGCAAAGGACCCCUGCACCUCUCCUUAGCAUCUUUCUGUUGGACUCCGGGUCACUCUUCUGCCCUGCUAGGUGGUACUGUGCUUUUAUGUUCUCUAAUCUGUUUGGUGAGCUACUGUUCAGCCAGAACACUCUGGUCCAGACAGCCACUUGUUCAGACCUUGACAUCCUUUUGUGACAGACCACGCCUCUCCUGGCUACCUGGCCUCCUCUCAGGAGGCCCCUGCCUCCCAGUGAUUCAGCCUCUAAGGGGUGAGUGCCAGCCCUGGGGGGCCCAGCACCACUGCCAGCUGGCAUUGUGCAGGCAUCUGUUCUGGAUGCCAGGGUCUGUGCCACACCAUUUGUCAGUUUUUAAUAUCUCUUCUGUCCUUUAGGCCAUCUAUUGGAUUGAAAACAAUAAAUCCAUUUUUAGGGCCUGAUAAGAGUGUGAGAAGGUGGUUGAAAGCCAUCAAGUCUCACUAUUAAUAACUUACAUUAUUUUAAAAUGAUUCUGCUGGGUAGUUCAACAAUAAAAUGUGAACACAUUUUAUUCUGUUUUUCUACUGCCAUUGGGGUAAAGAUCUCUGAUUUCCUAGAUCAAAGUAUUUGACAGAUUUUAAAGUACACACUAGAGGGCAGUGGCCCCAUAUCUAGACACCUGACAGUUACCACUGUCUGCAUUUCCCUGCCCUUCCUGCAUUAGGGGAGGGGAGGGAAGGCUCCUCCACAUCAUAUAAAUGCCAUUUAUGUCUGAAGUGUUUUAUGAAAAUAGAUCAGCUGCUUGGCAGCACCCUGUCUAUCAUUCCUUGUAGUUUCUUUUCCAUCCUUCUUGCAGUGAUUUAUCUCAGUGGAGUUUUAAUAACAGAGUUAUAUUAAUGACCAUCUCAUGACCCUUUUCUUUUCUAAACACAGGGAGAAGGAGAGAUAGGAAACAUACAUUUCUCAUCUGGAGUAGUAAGGUUUUCUAUCUUUGCAUCCUCGCAAAUAAAGUCUUGAAUUAAGAGUGAGGAAAAAUAGGGACUUAAUGCAUGAUCCAAGAGUUAAGAAUUUGCCUUCUAAAACAAGGGACGCAGGUUUGAUUCCUGGUCAGGGAACUUACGGUCCCACAUGCUGCAGGGCAACUAAGCCCGAGCACUACGACUAGAGAACCUGUGCACUGCAACUAGAGAAAGACCACACACUGCGAUGAAGACCCAGUGUAGCCAAAAUAAAAUAAUAAAUUUUAAAAAAAAGAAUGAGAAAGAAAGGUAGAGUGAGGUCAUCUUGUAUUUGUGUAUGAAGAGGUAACAACCAUUAGUGUGAGUCUGCAGAGCUGCCCACUAAGGAGAAUUAUAUUUCAGCUCGGCUUUACCUCUCCUGCCUACCUCUCGGUAGGGAGAGGCGAAGCUGACCUGCACAGUCAGGAGCAGGGCUGGGUGAGAGCUGGGAGUUAGUAGAGCCACCAGGCCCUGUGGUGGCAGAGAGAGAAGGUCCAGUGUGGCUGAAGAGUGUAAUGAAGUUCAGGAGGAAAGCAAAGGGACACUGAGAAAUAUCUCAGUGGGUUAUUUAUGAAUCUGUCUUUGAUGAAAUCUGAGGAACCUAAAUAAAGGAUUUGAUUUCUUUUUAAUUAUUUUUGGUUGUUGGACUGUUUCUUUGGAAAAAAAAAAAAGUAAGCCUCUAACACUGGAUUAUGUGAGUCCCUUAAUUUAUAGGCAUAAUCUCAGAUAUUGCAAUUGUCAAAAUAAAGUGAAUGGCAUGAAUGCUUUUUUUCCCCAAUGCAUAUAAAAGUUAUCUUUACUCUUUAUGAUAGUCUGGUAAGUGUACAAUAGCAUUAUGAAUAAAAAACCAAUAUACAUACCUUAAUUAAAAAAUUCUUUAUUGCUGAAAAAUUCUAACCAUCCCCUGAGCCUUCAGGAGGUCUUAGGAGUAACAUCAAAGGUCACUGAUCACAGAUCACUAUAACACAUAUAAUAAUAACUUAAACAUUUAAAAUAUUGCAAGAAUUACCAAAAUGUGACACAGAGAAAUGAAGGCAGCAAAUCCUUUUGCAAAAGUGACACCUACAGACUCGUUGCCACAAACCUUCAGUUUGUAAAAAACGCUGUUUCUUUGAAGGGCAAUAAAGCAAAGCACACUAAAAUGUGGUGUGCCUGGAUACAUUUUAUGUAUUGAAUGAAUUUGCCGGGGGUUGUGCUUGGAUUUGUGAAAUCUGACACAAUUGUGUUCCUUUAUAUUUAUUUUUAAAUGUUCACUAAGUUUACUCUUAAAUACAGGAGAGAGAUAAGAUACUCUUCUUUGAAUUCCCCCUCCAGGUCACGGGUGAGAGGAAGGGCACCUAGACCCUCGGAGCAACCUGUGCUGUGAAACAGACCAGGGACUUCCUCUGCGUUUCUCUUAGUGUUGCUAAUAUUUACUGAGCAUGUGCUAUAUACGUAUCACGUUAAGUGCCUUGCAUACAUUAUCUUGCUUGAUUCUCACAACAACCUGUUGUGAUGUACAUGGUUAUGAUCCCUGUUUACAGAUGAGAAACUGCAGGAUUGGAGAGGUUGCCUGGAUGAAGCAGUGACGAUGCAGCAGGCUGAGGUUUGACGGCAGGUUUGUCUUCCUCUGACCUUAUAACCAUCGUUUAUGUGCCCUCAGAGAACAGAGUGAUACCGCCAGCAGUUCCACUGUGAGAUCAUCCCCCCGGCCAACCUCAGAGUGCAGUGCUGUCUCACACAUCCUGAACUGGGUGCGGGCUCUCCAUCUUAUUCCUUUGUAGGUGCCCUGGCUGUUCGGGGGAUAGCCUCUGCCACCACACACACACAUGCAGAGUCACUGGUCAGGUUUUCAUUCCUCUGAUUUUAUAUAAGACGGUGUCACUGGAGAAUAAUUAAAACUCCUGAUGGAUUUAUGUUGGGGCCUCCUGACAUGGUUAUGUAGUUAAUUUAUGCCAAGAUGACAGGGGAGAUUAGCAUUAAAUGUGGAGAGGAAUGCACCUGCCACUUUGAUGCAGUCAGAAGCAUCUAUCAAAGAUGCAUUUGAAACCCAGAGACCUAAAUCUUAUUGGCAAGAAUGCUGUAGGCUUUCUUCAGCUACACUUAAAUGUGGAGAGGAAGAGUAGUUAGUGGAAACAGAGGUAGACCCCACCUUACCUGGACAGCAGAUUCUUCAGGGGCAGAGGAGUCACGCCUUGCCCAGUCCUGUCUCCCUUGGUCUCUGAUGUAAUAAUCCUUGUGCCACAGACAAAGGCAAAACCUUCUCGUAGAAACAGAAGCAGGGAGAGGACUUAUGUGUCUUACUAUUACUACUAAUAACAAUUGGUCACAUUUGGUAAGUGUUUGUUAUGUGUUAGAUAUUGAUGAAAGGGCCUUGCCUGUAUCAUCUCAUCUAUUCUUUAGAUGGCCAGUCCUCUUUCAAGCCUGACCCCUCCCCCAACCGUCACUGCUGCUGCUGCUGCUAAGUUGCUUCAGUCAUGUCCGACUCUGUGCGACCCCAUAGACGGCAGCCCACCAGGCUCCCCCGUCCCUGGGAUUCUCCGAGCAAGAACACUGAAUAUCUGUUUGUGCCAUCUCUGAUUUUGCCCCAUUGCAACCCAAUUUUGGAGCUCAGAGAGAAGAAUCUAUGGUCACAAAAGAAUUGGUCAAAAGAAGAGCAUUUGACCCCUCUGGAUGCUAUCAAAAUUACUUACAUACGUCAGCUUUGACCUUCUAAACUAGCUUUGUGCCACAGAAUUUACUAUUAAGUUGAACUAUUUAAAACUGAUACUGUUUACUAAUUUAAUAAAGUUUAACCAGAUACCUAUAAGUCAUUGAGCACUCACUAGAUAAAUAAUUGUAAUCAGCAUAGGAAAAAUAUUCUCUGACUAACAAAAAAAGGCACAGUACCUUUGGGAACUGCUAUUGAAGGAAAGUUUGCUGACACGGAUAUUGUUAGGAAUUUGGGAAUUUCCUAGCAGGGAUGAGGACAUAGGAAUGAAUGCAACAGAGCCGAGUUUGGGGUUUUAUAAUUUAACAUCUUCUAAUCCUCACCUUAAAAGAGCCUCUUCCAAUAAUAAGAAUCACUAACUUUAUUUCCAAAGAACAUGAAUACUGAAUAGAGCUUAUAAUGUAUUUCUUUAAAAAAGUUUUUUAUUGCAUGGUGGAGAACAAAGCUCACUGGCAGAUUAAAUCUGCAAACAGAGGGAAAGUAAAAAUCAGAGACUAUCAUCAAGGCCAAAAUGAGCCAAACCCUUGGAAGAGAACUAAGAAGAUCCUGCAGAAUCUUCAUACUGACUUGUUGAAGUGAACAUAAUGGCCCAGUGGGACCAAAUGUAGAGAGUUCAGAGCUCCGGUGAGGCACUUUCCUGGUCUGCUCAUAUGAUCACUCAGCACCACUCAGAACCUUCUGGUGCAUGCUGCGUGGGGCUGAGCAAAACAGUUCUCUCAGAUGGCACUGCUGGCACCCACAGCCCUCAGGUGCCCUCUUUCAGGAAAACAGUGUCCCCAUAAAAAUCUUUAGGACACAGAGUUACAAUUAUCCAACCUUCAUGCUCAAGUCCAUCCAUGUUGUAAUCAGGAAAAUGGCCCUUUGUUUGCCUAUGGUAUCAUUUUAAAAGGCCACCUGCAAGGAGGUCAAACCAGUCCAUCCAAAGGAAAUCAGUCCUGAAUAUUCAUUGGAAGGACUGAUGCUGAAGCUGAAGCUCCAAUACUUUGGCCACCUGAUGUGAAGAGCCGACUCAUU